rnacentral:rRNA from 1 species
UACGUAGGGUGCAAGCGUUGCCCGGAUUUAUUGGGCGUAAAGAGCGUGUAGGCGGCCAUACAGGUCCGUUGUGAAAACUGGAGGCUUAACCUCCAGACGUCGAUGGAAACCGUAUGGCUAGAGUCCGGAAGAGGAGAGUGGAAUUCCUGGUGUAGCGGUGAAAUGCGCAGAGAUCCGGAGGAACACCAGUGGCGAAGGCGGCUGCCUGGGCCUGGCCUGACGCUGAGGCGCGAAAGCGUGGGGAGCAAUCCGG